CCGCACGGGUGAGUAACACGUAUCCAACCUGCCGUCUACUCUUGGACAGCCUUCUGAAAGGAAGAUUAAUACAAGAUGGCAUCAUGAGUCCGCAUGUUCACAUGAUUAAAGGUAUUCCGGUAGACGAUGGGGAUGCGUUCCAUUAGGUAGUAGGCGGGGUAACGGCCCACCUAGUCUUCGAUGGAUAGGGGUUCUGAGAGGAAGGUCCCCCACAUUGGAACUGAGACACGGUCCAA
rnacentral:rRNA from 1 species